GACGAACCGUCCAAACGUUAUUCGGAAUCACUGGGCUUACAGAGUUCGUAGGCGGUCCGGAAAGUUGGGUGUGAAAUCCCUCGGCUCAACCGAGGAACUGCGCUUGAAACUACCAGACUCGAGGGAGAUAGAGGAAAGCGGAACUGAUGGUGGAGCGGUGAAAUGCGUUGAUAUCAUCAGGAACACCGGUGGCGAAGGCGGCUUUCUGGGUCUUACCUGACGCUGAGGAACGAAAGCCAGGGGAGCGAACGGG
rnacentral:rRNA from 1 species